UUUAUGCAGUUACACAACUAUUCAAUUACAUGCUAUCUAACAUCCCUACUGCAUAUGGCUUCAUGAGCCAUGGGAGUAAGAGGUGGCUAUCUCCUAGGAUCACUACUGGCAUUUCAAUACCUCCGAUGGUAACUUCUCCAUCUGGUAAGCAAGUCCCAAACUUGCAGCUUUAUAAAGAGACAGAAGUUCCUAAAGUUAUGCAUGUUGCAUCAUGCACCUUUUCCGAAAAUCCUAUAUUGAUGUAGAUGAAAUGGACCUUGUGAUCUACCAGCACCCACGGCACCAUUGAGAAGUAUCCUUUAAGAUUUGUGUAUGCUUUGGCAAGGUGGUCAGGUGCCAAGAUAGGGAUGUGCAUUCUGUCUGCCGCCCCACCACAGUUAGGGAAUCUAAUCACAACAAAGCCCUCCACUAUGUUCUGCAUGUUUCCUGGAGUCAGAACCCUCUGUAGCAGAAGGGUAUUGAUUGACUUGGCUACUUGGAUCACAACAGCCCCCACUGUAGAUUUCACCACUUCAAAUUGAUUCCCAAAUGUCCAGUAGCUGUCUAACAUUGCAGAUUUCCAUAGGGUAAUUGCCACUUGCUUCUCUAAUAUCAGAGUGGGUCUAAUUCUGAUAUUUCUGUGCUUCAGGGUAUGGAAAAACAAUUUGCAAACUUCCAUGAAAGUGGUUUUAUGCAUGUGACAGUUUUGCAGCCACUGCUGAUUGACCCAUUGCUGCAUCACUAUGGGUUUGUGCUUCUUUUAUGGCACCGGAACCAGCAUUCCACUGUGUCCAGAGGAUCAAACACUGGCAGCAUUUGCCGGUUGCUCAAAUGCUUCACAAAAGAGCAUGCUCAUGAUCUCCUGAGAUACUUCCUCAUUCCAGAAGACCCUGGAAAUGCUCUGGAUAUACUCCAUGAUAAGGUGCACCAUGGUUAAUAUGAUUGCCAUAAUACUUUGCUGUUAAACAGGUUCCAGGAAGGGUUGGUUCCAUGCUUAUCCUGCUAUGGCAUCUGCACAGAUAACCAAGAGAAAAAAAGGGUGUUUGCUUUGCUUUCAAAUGGGAGAAGGGUAGAGGGGAAGGAGGAUAUGAGUGUAUUAUGGGAUGCUGAUGGUAUGUACCCAGAACCAACUGCUACACAAUUUUGGUCCCAGCGUGCACUGGAACAUAACUCAGAAUGGUAAGGGACAGCAGGAACUGUGAGAUAGCUACCUACAGUGUAUCACUCUCAAAGUUGCUAGUAGCCAACCUACUAGGGACAUACUACUUCAAACUAUACUGAAUUCUUGCACAUAGUGGGGAUAUGUACCUUCAACUUUACAAAACUUAAAAACUUAUCUCGAAGAAAAGACAAAGUAGUGGAGGGGAAGAACUGUCAAUCAUCUUGAAGACUAGAAAAAACAGAUGAAAGAAGCCAUUGUUUGCCUACCUAUAUGUUAUACUGCUACCACAACUGGCUGCUAUCCAUGCAAUGCUAGCAUGCCUUUCUCCACACACCCCUGCACCUAGGUUCCCUGUAACCUGCACUGCAGCAUAGCUGUUCAAUGAUCCCUGACCAGAGGCUCAGAGCUGCCCCGCUGGCAGGAAGCUUAGCUGAUCAGUUGGGGGAGGGGCCAUCUGGCUCUGGGCACCUUCAAACUGAACUGCCUGCUUGAAACAGAGGAACUUAGAGAUCAGCCAGGGAGGGGAGAUAAGAAGCAGGGAAGAAGGGAAGAAUUGGAGGGAGGAGGGAAGAGUUUUAGGGUAGGGGGAAUUUGGGGAGAUAAGGAGGAAGGAAAUAAUUGGCUGGAGGGAGUGAAAGGAGAAGGGAAUUUGGGGUGUCCUGAGAAAGAGGCAGAAACCCAGCAUUCUCUUCUUCCUCAAGCCUCCUGGGGUGGGAAGAGGGGUGGGGGGGGGGGGAGGGAGAAGGGGAGAGAUGACUGCAUGGGAUAUGUGAGUGAAGCAGGAGGUGGGUGGUGGCACUGAGGUGAGGUGGGGGCAAAGAACUUGUUUGUGCUGGGUGUCCUGUCCUAACUCCCAGCUAGAAUGUUAAUGCUUUCAAGUCUAAGCAGCAGGAUUUUAUCCCAGCCUGCAACUGUGCUGGGUGCCAGGGACCAGAUUGUACAGUGGUAGGUGGGGGGAAUAAGGAGUGGGUAGGUGCUGGCGUACGUGCAGUAAGGUGGAGGCAGGGGGGAGUUUGUUUGGGGUGGCCUGAUUUACUUGCUGCAGUCCAGAUAGCAGUCCUCUCCGGCUGGGUGGAGAGAAGAAGAGGAAUCCAGGCUGCAUGGGAGGUAGGAGGGGGGUGUGCGCCAGGACAUUUGCAUGAUUACAUUUCAAACAAAUUUAACAUAGGAGUUAAUGGCUUAAGUUCAUAAAAUAUGUGAAACUGCGAUGUGCAUGUUUAGCUGUUCUGUCCUCAGAUGUCAUGGUUCUGGACCUGAGGAGUCCCAAGAAAAGUAAGAGAGAUGGUGUGAGAACUGCUAUUAUGCCUUGUUUACAUAUGAGGAACUGAGCCACAGAGAGACUAAGCGACUUGCCCAACAUCACAAAGGACAUCUCUGGAAGAUCAGGGAACUACACCCGAUAAUUCCCAAGUCCCCUUCUGGCCAACGGGCCAUCAUUCCUCUUCUCUUCCUCUUACAAGAGACUCCUCAUGAGGGAUGAAUGAAAAAGGACAGUAAUACUACUGCAUGGGCAGGAAGCUGAGAAGAAACAACAGACACGUACAAAUCUUGUUGUAAUGUCCAAAAUAAAAAUCAGCUAACCAAUGGGAUGUUCAUAAUUUUAAGUACCAAUAAAUCUACUUGUGCCACCAACUGCUAACUCUUCUCUUAUUACUAGACUCUUCCCUCAGACAAGCUCCACAGCACAUAUGACUUAAGACACCCUCAUGUGCAGAUAUAAACCAGCACGGUGCUCCCAGUACCCUCUACCAUCCUCUUGCCGCUCAGAAGCCUUAAUUUGGCCCCCUGGCUACUAAGGUCCUUAAAUAAACUUGGGAUUUUGUGUUUCUCAGUACUAAAUGUCAGCGCUAUGAUUGUAUAAAUUUCCUGUGAAACAGGGGGAGUGCUGACCAGCACCUGCUGACUAAGGGGUUAACUCAGGUACCUAGCAAAGGUGCCAGACAUGGGGCUGGGAGAGCCAACUGAGAUAAAGGCUUGGAAUUUGAAUUGGAUAUAAAUUCGCUGCCUGCUUUCUUUGUGUGGGAGAAGUACACGAGGGAUAGAGAGAGACACAGAAUCAUUUAACCCAGGAAAGACUACCAUGUCCCACCAUGGAAUUCAGGGUAUGGGAGCAGACUGAACCAAGAGAAAAUUAAAAAUGAUUACCAGGGAAAUAUGAGUCCAGUCGCGUUCAGGGUAGUUUUUCUCUAUUUUGUGGUUUGGUUUGAACUGCUGUGUGAUUCUAUGCCUUCCGUCCCCACUUACCAUCUAAACAUUGUGCUGAGACUUUGCUAUCUGGUUUUUAAUUUGUUUUCCUUAGUUGUUCUGUACAUCUAGCAACC